UUAUAAACAAAUUGCAUACAAACAUCAUUAUGUUGUAUCUUGCCCAAAGAACAAGUUUAUUUAUAAAGAUGAGCUCAAAUAAAUAUAUUGAAAAUAUUGAGAAAAAGAAAACGUUCAAUUAACAAUAAUGUGUAAAAGAUAAAAGGUAUGAACAAGUUUUUAUAUUUUCUUCAAAGUUGGAUUAAAUGGAAGAAAACAUUUCAAGCAAUUUUUUAAAGAUAUAUGAACAGAAAAAUACUUAAAAUAUAUCAAAGUUCCCAGCGUGAUCUCUAUUCCGAUGCUGUCUAGACUGACGACCAUUGCCGAUUGAUCUGCCCUCGCUGCGACAAUUACAAUAAUAUAGCACACAGCAAUUAUGCAUUAUCAUUAUUACAAUCUUCAAUUCAGACGCUUCAGUUCGGCUUUCUGUGGUCUUCAGCUACCCAAUGGACAAUCAGCAGCAUGUACAGCCUCGGGGUUAUGGGAAUGAUUGGCACAAUCGUAGCGAUGAGUACGGCUGGGGGUAAAUCGAUAUUACAUGUUCCCAGCAGAGUGAAUUUCACUUUUGCCAAGUUGACAUUUGACACCAGUUGAAU